rnacentral:rRNA from 1 species
UAAAUACAACAUUAUCCGCCAGAGGACUACAAGCGAAAAGCUUAAAACUCCAAGGACUUGGCGGUGCCCUAUACCAACCUAGAGGAGCCUGUCCUAUAAUCGAUACUCCACGUUGUACCCUACCACCUUUUGCCACAGCCUAUAUACCGCCGUCGUCAGCCUACCCUAUGAAAGAAAAAGAGUAGGCAAAACAGUUAACAACAAACACGUCAGGUCAAGGUGUAGCAUAUAAGGUGGAAGAGAUGGGCUACAUUUUCUACCAUAGAACACACGAAUGAUAUGAUGAAACACAAACCUAAAGGCGGAUUUAGUAGUAAGAUGGAUAAGAAACACCACCUUAAACUCGCUCUGGGGCGCGCACACACCGCCCGUCACCCUCAUCAC